CCUACGGGUGGCAGCAGUGAGGAAUAUUGGUCAAUGGACGAGAGUCUGAACCAGCCAAGUAGCGUGAAGGAUGACUGCCCUAUGGGUUGUAAACUUCUUUUAUAUAGGAAUAAAACGUUGCACGUGUGCCUUUUUGUAUGUACUUUAUGAAUAAGGAUCGGCUAACUCCGUGCCAGCAGCCGCGGUAAUACGGAGGAUCCGAGCGUUAUCCGGAUUUAUUGGGUUUAAAGGGAGCGUAGAUGGGUUGUUAAGUCAGUUGUGAAAGUUUGCGGCUCAACCGUAAAAUUGCAAUUGAUACUGGCAGUCUUGAGUACAGUUGAGGUAGGCGGAAUUCGUGGUGUAGCGGUGAAAUGCUUAGAUAUCACGAAGAACCCCGAUUGCGAAGGCAGCUUACUAAACUGUGACUGACAUUGAUGCUCGAAAGUGUGGGUAUCAAACAGGAUUAGAUACCCUUGUAGUC
rnacentral:rRNA from 1 species